rnacentral:rRNA from 1 species
GACGAACGCUGGCGGCGUGCUUAACACAUGCAAGUCGAACGAAGUGGCGAACGGGUGAGUAAAGCGUAAUCAACCUGCCCUUCAGAGGGGGACAACAGUUGGAAACGACUGCUAAUACCGCAUACUGAAGGAGGGGAUUGUGUCUGAUUAGCUAGUUGGGGGGGUAAAGGCCCACCAAGGCGAUGAUCAGUAGCCGGUCUGAGGGGAUGAACGGCCACAUUGGGACUGGACAACGGCCCAGACUCCUACGGGAGGCAGCAGUGGGGAAUCUGCCGCAAUGGACGAAAGUCUGACGGAGCAACGCCGCGUGAGUGAUGACGGCCUUCGGGUUGUAAAGCUCUGUUAAUCGGGACGCGGUACCGGAAUAGAAAGCCACGGCUAACUACGUGCCAGCAGCCGCGGUAAUAC